rnacentral:rRNA from 1 species
UACAGAGGUGGCAAGCGUUGUUCGGAAUUACUGGGCGUAAAGGGCGCGUAGGCGGCAAUUCAAGUCAGCUGUGAAAUCUCCGGGCUUAACUCGGAACGGUCAGCUGAUACUGCUUUGCUAGAGUGCAGAAGGGGCAAUCGGAAUUCUUGGUGUAGCGGUGAAAUGCGUAGAUAUCAAGAGGAACACCUGAGGUGAAGACGGGUUGCUGGGCUGACACUGACGCUGAGUGCGCGAAAGCUAGGGUAGCAAACGGG